rnacentral:rRNA from 1 species
CUACGGGGUGCACCAGUGGGGAAUAUUGGGCAAUGGGCGAAAGCCUGACCCAGCAACGCCGCGUGAUUGAAGAAGGCUUUCGGGUUGUAAAAAUCUGUCCUUGGGGACGAAGAAGUGACGGUACCCAAGGAGGAAGCCCCGGCUAACUACGUGCCAGCAGCCGCGGUAAUACGUAGGGGGCGAGCGUUGUCCGGAAUUACUGGGCGUAAAGGGUGCGCAGGCGGCGCUUUAAGUCAGAUGUGAAAUACCCAGGCUUAACCUGGGGGGUGCAUUUGAAACUGGAGCGCUUGAGUGCAGGAGAGGAAAGUGGAAUUCCUAGUGUAGCGGUGAAAUGCGUAGAUAUUAGGAGGAACACCAGUGGCGAAGGCGACUUUCUGGACUGUAACUGACGCUGAGGCACGAAAGCGUGGGGAGCAAACAGGAUUAGAUACCCGAGUAGUC